rnacentral:rRNA from 1 species
GGACGAACGCUGGCGGCGUGGAUUAGGCAUGCAAGUCGGACGGUAGGGCUUUAUCGUAAGAUAGAGUUUGAGAGUGGCGAACGGGUGAGUAACACGUAGGAAUCUACCCUUAAGACGGGGACAACCCAGGGAAACUUGGGCUAAUACCGGAUGAGAGUGCGAGAGAUUGCAUUUAAAAGGAUGGCGAAAGUUGUCGCUUAGGGAUGAGCCUGCGGUCUAUUAGUUAGUUGGUGAGGUAAGAGCUCACCAAGGCGAUGAUAGAUAGGCGGCCUUAACGGGUGGUCGCCCACACUGGGAUUGAGAUACGGCCCAGACUCCUACGGGAGGCAGCAGUCGAGAAUAGUCUACAAUGGCCGGAAGGCUGAUAGUGCGACGCCGCGUGAACGAGGGAGCCCUUCGGGGUGUAAAGUUCUUUUCUAUACGAGCAGUGCUAUAUAUAUGGAUAGUAUAUAUAGAGGGAUAGUAGUAUAGGAAUAAGCAACGGCUAACUCCGUGCCAGCAGCCGCGGUAACACGGGGGUUGCGAGCGUUGUCCGGAAUUACUAGGCGUAAAGGGCAGGUAGGCGGAUCUACGAGUUUUUUGUUAAAGGCUACGGCUCAACUGUAGUAGAGCAGGAGAUACUGUAGGUCUGGAAUGCGGUAGGGGAAGACAGAAUUCCUGGUGUAGCGGUGGAAUGCGCAGAGAUCAGGAGGAAUACCGAAGGCGAAGGCAGUCUUCUAGGCCGUAAUUGACGCUUAACUGCGAAGGUGUGGGGAUCAAACAGGAUUAGAUACCCUGGUAGUCCACACAGUAAACGAUAAUCACUAGAUGUCGGAUUCUAGAUGGAUUCGGUGUCGGAGCUAACGCGAUAAGUGAUUCGCCUGGGGAGUACGAUCGCAAGGUUGAAACUCAAAGGAAUUGACGGGGGCCCGCACAAGCGGUGGAGCAUGUGGUUUAAUUCGAUGCAACGCGAAGAACCUUACCAGGGUUUGACAUCCCCUGACAGGCAUGGAAACAUGUCCUCGUCCUUCGGGGCGCAGGGAGACAGGUGGUGCAUGGCUGUCGUCAGCUCGUGUCGUGAGAUGUUGGGUUAAGUCCCGCAACGAGCGCAACCCCUGCCUUCAGUUACCAUCAUUAAGUUGGGGACUCUGGAGGGACCGCUGCGGUAACAACGCAGAGGAAGAUGGGGACGACGUCAAGUCAUCAUGGUCCUUAUGGCCGGGGCUACACACGUGCUACAAUGGCAGUUACAGAGGGAAGCAAGACAGUAAUGUGGAGCGAAACUCAGAAAAGCUGUCGCAGUUCGGAUUGAGGUCUGCAACUCGGCCUCAUGAAGUUGGAAUCGCUAGUAAUCGCGCAACAUCAUGGCGCGGUGAAUACGUUCCCGGGCCU